GGUAAGUCCAAGUUGGUUUUUAACUUAUCAAUCAGAAAGGUUUUUAUCUUUUUCCUCUGUGGAUGCCAUGUUACUGAAUUUGUGCAUACUUCUUUUCAAGUUUAACAAAGUAUCCUACAUUUCAUAUUAUUUUCUUCUGUUAUGUCUUCACAUGAUUACCUGUCAAACUGCAUUAGUUGCUGAAAGUUUGAAUUAAAUAAUAUUGUAGUUUUCCUGUGAUUGGCACACAUAUUCUCCAUGCAUGCUAGCGUACAUAUCUACUCCAGAUAUUUCAGGGCAUGUGCUGUGGAUUAGUAGUAGCCAUUAUUUCUGAAUUGUACCUAGUUAUGCUUUUCAUAUUUGUUAGGAUCUCACAAAACUAUCAGUGGCAUAACUAAUUAAAUUGGGGAAUCAAGUAGAAAUUUAUUUUUGUGUUCUCUUUUCAUUCUCUGUUUAUGUGUUGCAAUCAUUGCUAAAAACUAUCAGUGGCAUAAUUAAUUAAAUUGGGGAAUUAAGUUGAAAUUUAUUUUCGUGUUUUCUUUUCAUUCUCUGUUUAUAUGUUGCAAUCAUUGCUAAAUUUAUUAUAAAGGCUAGUCUUGUGGUCAGUAAAAUUGAAAAUGAUGUAAAAAAAAAAUAAAAGAAAAAAA
rnacentral:misc_RNA from 1 species